AGAACGAACGCUGGCGGCAGGCUUAACACAUGCAAGUCGAACGGUUGUAGCAAUACAGCAGUGGCAGACGGGUGAGUAACACGUGGGAACCUUCCUAGGGGUACGGAACAACUCAGGGAAACUUGAGCUAAUACCGUAUACGUCCGUAAGGAGAAAGAUUCAUCGCCCCUAGACGGGCCCGCGUAGGAUUAGGUAGUUGGUGAGGUAACGGCUCACCAAGCCUACGAUCCUUAGCUGAUCUGAGAGGAUGAUCAGCCACACUGGGACUGAGACACGGCCCAGACUCCUACGGGAGGCAGGCAGGUGGGGAAUCGUUAGGACGAAGUGGGGCGACAAGCCUAG
rnacentral:rRNA from 1 species